rnacentral:rRNA from 1 species
GUGAGGAAUAUUUGUCAAUGGACGCGAGUCUGAACCAGCCAAGUAGCGUGAAGGAUGACUGCCCUAUGGGUUGUAAACUUCUUUUAUAAGGGAAUAAAGUGAGGGACGUGUCCCUUUUUGGAUGUACCUUAUGAAUAAGGAUCGGCUAACUCCGUGCCAGCAGCCGCGGUAAUACGGAGGAUCCAAGCGUUAUCCGGAUUUAUUGGGUUUAAAGGGAGCGUAGGUUGACAUAUAAGUCAGCUGUGAAUGUUUACGGCUAAACCGUGAAAUGGGAGUUGAUACUGUAUGUCUUGAGCGUACAAGAGGUGGGCGGAAUUCGUGGUGUAGCGGUGAAAUGCUUAGAUAUCACGAAGAACUCCAAGUGCGAAGGCAGCUCACUGGGGUACAACUGACACUGAGGCUCGAAAGUGUGGGUAUCAAACAGGAUUAGAAACCCCAGUAGUCC